rnacentral:lncRNA from 1 species
CCUGGGGAGACUGAUUCAGGAGGAUCCGAGCCGAGUGAUACUGAUGUGUCAGAUAGCUCGUUGAUGGCGCUGAGAUACCAUGAGAUGACGGAUUGGCGUAAAGAUAGAAAAUAAAUGCAAUCUUUCCUUAAUUGGGGCAAUUUUGGUACUUUUUGGUAAUUUGACCAUAACUUUGGCUACGGUUAUCAGAACUGCUAUUAUGACCCCAAUUCGGAAAGCUCUCUUCAGCGCGCACGUUGUGGUCACCAGCUAUGCUCGGUGGACAUCAAUUUUGAGCUCAAAAUCUGCUGUUUUCCUUUUCAAAAUUCAAUUUUUAGUUAU